UUUACUUUCAUCGGCGGUGACUCCCCGGAACAGAAUCGCUUCGUUCACUUAGGAUUAUGAAGAAGGAGAGUCUUAAGAACACUCGAUUUAUCCCUUCGUCUUUCAACUUCAUAUCUACUUGCAUUAAGACUGCUUCUUCUGGUGUUCGUUCCCGCAGCAAGGACCAGGUGCUUUGGGCUUGCUUUGACAGGCUAGAGUUUGGUCCAUCUUCUUUCAAACAUGUUCUGUUACUUGGUUAUUCCAAUGGCUUUCAAGUUCUAGAUGUGGAUGAUGCCUCCAAUAUCAGGGAACUUGCCUCAAAGCAUGAUGAUCCAGUUUCAUUUUUACAGAUACAACCCAUCCCUGAAAGAUCUGAGGGUCAUGAAGGAUUUAGAGCAUCACACCCUUUACUCUUAGUUGUUGCAUGUGAUAAAUCAAAGAUUCCAGGUACAAUGCAAAAUGGAAAAGAUGGACUUCUCAGAGAUCACACUGAAGCUCAAGCUGAAAAUAUAGCCUGCUCAGCUACAGCAGUUCGAUUUUACUCACUAAGGUCCCAUACCUAUGUCCAUGCACUGAGAUUCCGUUCAACUGUCUACAUGGUUAGAUGCAGUUCUAGAAUUGUGGCCAUAGGUCUUGUUACGCAAAUAUAUUGUUUUGAUGCUCUUACUCUUGAGAAUAAAUUCAGUGUUCUCACUCACCCUGUACCUCAGUUGGGAGGUCAGGGAAUUGUUGGUAUUAAUAUUGGGUAUGGUCCCAUGGCUGUAGGACCACGAUGGUUAGCUUAUGCUUCCAACAACUCAUUGCUGUCAAAUGCAGGCCGUCUCUGUCCACAGAGUCUGACACCUCCCACUGUUAGCCCAUCAACAUCACCCAGCAAUGGAAACCUUGUUGCCCGAUAUGCCAUGGAAUCAGGCAAGCACUUUGCUGCUGGACUGAUCAACCUCAGUGACCUGGGAUAUAAAACAUUGUCUAAAUAUUAUCAGGAUCUUUUACCUGAUGGAUCCAAUUCUCCUGUAUCAUCAAAUUCAAGCUGGCAAGUUAGUCGGUAUACAUCACGUUCUGCUGAAACAGAUACAGCUGGUGUGAUUACACCAUCCUCUUCAAGGAAUGGAUCGGGUUGUCAAAGCAGUAAUUGGAGCUAUUCUCAUGUACACCUGUACAAGCUCCACCGUGGCAUGACAUCAGCUGUUAUAGAAGAUAUUUGUUUUAGCCGUUGCAGUAAGUGGAUUGCCAUCAUUUCGUCCAAGGGCACUUGUCAUAUUUUUGUUCUUGCUGCUUUUGGUGGUGAAACAGUUCUUCAGAUACAGAACCAUGGCCCCGAGGGGCCUGUUCUUUUUCCAACUUUACCUCUACCAUGGUGGUCCACUCCGUGUUUCUCAGCAAAACAGCAAGAGUGUCACCCAGCACCCCUACCUCCUGUUGUCCUAUCUGUGGUUAGCAGAAUAAAAUAUAACAAUACUGGAUGGCUCAAUACAGUUUGUAAUGCUGCAUCUUCUGCUGCAGGAAAAGUUUCCAUUCCAUCUGGUGCUGUUUCUGCUGUAUUUCACAAUUCAAUACCUUAUGAUGCACCCAGUGCAUUAUCUAAAAUUCGUGCCUUGGAGCAUUUAUUGGUUUAUACCCCUUCUGGUCAUUUAAUUCAAUAUAGACUGCUACCAUCGUUGGGGGCAGUUCCUAGUGGAACUAUUCCAAGAAUAGAUCCAGUUCCUUCAGCACAGAUACAAGAAGAGGAUAUGCGACUGAAAGUUGAACCUGUUCAAUGGUGGGAUGUCUGUAGGAGACAUGAUUGUCCGGAAAGAGAGGUGCAUAUAUUGGGGAAUACAUUGGAAGCUCCAGAAAUGAUCUUGGAAACUUUAGAUGGUCAAGAAAAUAGUGCUGUGAACAACAGUUCUGUUAAUCUUCAAGAGCAAUGCCACUUUUCAAAUGCAGAGGUACAAAUAAGCUCUGGGAGAAUUUCAAUUUGGCUGAAGUCUGAGGUGUCUUUCUUUGUGAUGAAUCCUUUGGAGACCAAGGAGAUGAAGUUAUGUGAAUUUAGUACCAGUGGAGAGAUGGAAAUCGAGAAUAUUCCUGUUAGUGAGGUUGAAAUAAGACAGAAGGAUUUGUUGCCAAUCUUUAACCAUUUCAAUGGUGUUCGGUCUACUUGGGUUGACAGAGGUAUUGUCAUGGGACGAUGCUCUAGCUCUUCAUAUGACUCUAAUGUAACUGAAGAGUUGACUGAAGAUGCCGUUAUUUCCCAUUCAAAGUUGAUGAUGCCUGGUUCUGCUUUGAAGGCAGAUGUUGCAUAUUUUUCUUCAUCAAUCGACUCAUCUGGAUCAGAGAUUUGUGGCAAGAACAGAGAGGAAGUUGUGUUGGAAUCAUCUCAUUCAAACCUGGAAACUGUUGACAUCGAUGACUUAUCAGAAGGUGGCUCUCAUUUUGCUAAUAAUGUAUUUAAUCAAGUUAAAUCAUCAAUCGGUGGUGAAACCAGUUACCAUUUGAAUUCAAAUUGUAGUGAUUAUACUUUGAGUAUGAACACUACUCAUCAGGAGCCAAUAAAUAACUUGCCCAAUUUUGAGCAAUUUUUUCAAGGUUACUGUAAAGCAUCAGUUGACUGUCAUGAAUCAGCAGAAAUUGUUACUGGUAUGGGUUGCAGCAGACAGUGUGACAAGGAGAAAUCUGAGGAAGAUGGUAACAGUGAUGACAUUGUUGGUGGUGUAUUUGACUUCUCUGAGGAAGGUUGAUGAAUGCUUCUUUCAUGCUUGGCCUCUCUCUUCAAGUUGUUUUAAAUUGGUGCAGUAAAGGAUUUAUUAAAUGACAAAUGCUGGUGAUUUCCUUGCAACAACCUAAAUGCCGCUGACCAUUGAUUCAAGGAAUUUUUAUAUGAUCGACAAUAUUCCUUCCCAGCCCAAAUAUUAUUCUUAACUUCUAAUUCCCAGGCGAAUGAUGCUUCUUACCUUCUAAUUUGAAUGUCAAUUAGUUUCUGCUCAAGUCUUUUAAAGAUCUUGGUGAUACGUUGAUGGCCGGGUUCUCCGCCAAGCCACUUUCCCCCUUUUCAUGCUACCAAAGUAAUGUUUCUUAGCUUUACUAAUUUUCAUUGCCUUAUUUAUUGCUUGAGUAGAAUAUGAAAUAUAACUAAAAUAUUGAGGUUGAAGAGUUGCAAUUGACUUGUCUGCAGACACUAAAUGGCUUAAUAUGUUAGUCAUAUUUCAUAUUCUACUCGCCAAGAGUCGGGCUCUUCACCGAAUGCUUGUUGUUUGAUGUAAAUGCUGGGGACAUCACCACUGCCUAUCUAAAUGUUUGAUUUAUUGUCUCUUGUGGAUGGUUUGGACAACAAAGUACAAUUGAUUAUCCAUCAAAAGAAAAGUAGAAACUAUAAAAUUAUUUACAAAUCAUAGAUUUUGUUAUUUUAUAAGCGAAGGAAAAUUUUCCGAGGAAGAUAAUGUGGUGGGGCCAAAGAAAAUUUGAUUUCAUUUUUAUCUAACAAGUUCAAAGAUUUUCCAUUAUUAAUAAAUCAUGGAAUGAUGCUUAUUACAAGAAAAAAAAAAUUGUGAAACUAUGAAGGAAUGUGAAUAGGUAAAAUUUUUGGGGUUAAGUGAGAGGGUUUGGUACCUGUUUUAAAUGUGGAACAAUUUUGACCGUAAAUUUGAUAUGGAUAGAUAAUGGAGUUAGUGAUUUAGUUAAAAAAUAUGUUAAUACUUUUUUUAUUUUUAAGAUAUUAAAAGAAUCACAACUUUUAAUUUAAAGAGGUAUAAAAUAUCCUCUCAAGUUUAUGGAUGCCCCAUCAAACACCAUGGGAAUAAAAGGCCAUGAAAGAAAUAAGGAACCGACAUGAAUGGUCUAUACUGAAACUGAAGGGGGACUGAAAUGCCUCCCUAAUCAUUUGUUCGAACAGAAAAAGGAAAUUGGAAUGGUGAAGAGUAUGUUCCCGCCGACUCAUCAAUACAC